rnacentral:rRNA from 1 species
AGUGAACGCUGGCGGUAGGCCUAACACAUGCAAGUCGAACGGCAGCACAGUAAGAGCUUGCUCUUACGGGUGGCGAGUGGCGGACGGGUGAGGAAUACAUCGGAAUCUACUUUUUCGUGGGGGAUAACGUAGGGAAACUUACGCUAAUACCGCAUACGACCUACGGGUGAAAGCAGGGGAUCUUCGGGCCUUGCGCGAUUGAAUGAGCCGAUGUCGGAUUAGCUAGUUGGCGGGGUAAAGGCCCACCAAGGCGGCGAUCCGUAGCUGGUCUGAGAGGAUGAUCAGCCACACUGGAACUGAGACACGGUCCAGACUCCUACGGGAGGCAGCAGUGGGGAAUAUUGGACAAUGGGCGCAAGCCUGAUCCAGCCAUACCGCGUGGGUGAAGAAGGCCUUCGGGUUGUAAAGCCCUUUUGUUGGGAAAGAAAAGCAGCAGGUUAAUACCCCGCUGUUCUGACGGUACCCAAAGAAUAAGCACCGGCUAACUUCGUG